AUAGCUUAGCUGGGAGAGCAUCAAAUUGAAGAUUCGAAGGUUGCAUGUUUGAUCCAUGCU
rnacentral:tRNA from 1 species